CUCUGUCUGUCUGUCUGUCUGUCUGUCUGUCUGUCUGUCUGUCUGUCUGUCUGUCUGUCUGUCUGUCUGUCUGUCUGUCUGUCUGUCUGUCUGUCUGUCUGUCUGUCUGUCUGUCUGUCUGUCUGUCUCAGCUCAUUGUGGUGUAGGGAAGCUUGAUGUGCAGCAGAGGCUAAGGUGAACUCAGAAAGGAAAGAGAGCUCAGAGUUUUACAGUACCAUCCUGUCCUCCAAUCAGAGAGGAGAGGGAUAAGGAGUCCCCUUAUUCCCCGUCUUCAAACCUGGAUCCUCAACCCUCCUCUUGUGUAUAGGUCACAAAUCCCCUCCAACACAGAUCAAGGUGUGACAGAACCCUCCCUCACCACCACCCCCCACCCACUCUCAGCACUAGUCCCUCACUUGGUCCUCACUCACUCGCUCUCUCUCCCUCUCUUUCACCUCAGGAGAGAGAAGAAUAAAUACAAAAUAGAUCAAUAUUUAAAAAACACAUUUGAUCUGGCACACAGGACAGACUGCGAUGCUCCUCUCCUGGUGUUCUUGUUCUCGUCAGAUGUGAAAAGCCUUGGUGCGAAGAGUUCUGACUGAUCCAGUAAAUGAUUACACGGUUCUUAUCUGGAGGAUGUCUGUCUGCAGGGCACUGGUGUGCUCCACAUAAUACCCUCCCCACUUGUUCCUACGUAAAAUACCCUCACCAGUUGUAUUGGCAUCGGUGUGACCGUCUGAAGUCCAGCAUUUUAUCAGAUGAAACGUUCAGCUAUAUUAUCAUCGUGUAGUGUACUGCAUAUACAUUGUACUUUGACAUUUUGUUUUUUUAUAUAUAUAUAACGACAUUCACAUAAAAAGUUUUUGGAAGUUACAUUCAAUAGCGGAACCAAAGGAGGAGUAAAUAGACAAACAGGUAAUAACACUACACAGGUAUAGAAAUCUCCCAGGAAUGGUCGACAGUGCAUUAAGUCCGGCGCCCAUAAAAUCAUAAUAUCGAUUAUCAAAAAUCAAAGGGCGAACUUAAUUCCAAGGGUUGCAGAUCACAAAUAGAUAUAUUUAUAUUCAUCAUAUAUAUAAAUGUUUUUUUUUUCUUACUCAGUAAUACAGUAAAUGUAACAUUAGUUAAUGGCUACAAUGGACUUUUCCCCACCAUGUCUGACAGCAUGUUAUUAGUACAAUGUUUAAAUAUAGAAGGAUGUUACUAAAGUAGAGCUCGAUAUAAAUAGAACGUUUAAAAGAGAAUUGAAUAAAUCUUUAUCGGUUGGUUUUGCGACCCGUCUGACGGAACCGUCAAUCCCUUUCUUCUCUCUGUCUCUCAGAACAAUCCUGAGCCCAUAUCGAAGACGGAUGGAGGAGUCAAACUGCAUCCCAAAUGGCACCCUAUUCCCUAUAUAGUGCUCUGCUUUUGACCAGUAUUGCACUGUAUAGGGAAAAGGGUGAAUGUUGGGAUACGUCGAUGGGGUGUAGACAGCUCCCAUGUUUGUAAUUUAUAGCUACAUAUCCAACCCGCCCACAUCCCUCACCCCGACACAAUGUACAAAAGAAGCUGUUUGUUUACUACACAUCACAGCCACCUCAACCACAACACCACAACAACAUGUUUUGGUAGCAACGCUGGGGUUUGGAGGCGCUGUUGUGGCCGACAGCAGACAUGCUCCCUGGACAUCUACAUACUGUAUGUAGGAUCUUCAUUUGAUUACCCUGUUGCAGGAAAAUAUUUCUGCAAUGCAGGACAUUUAAAACUUGUAGUGUAUUUUGUACUUGUAGUGUAUUUCCACUUUGAAAUUUCACACUUGAUUUUCCCUUACGAAAUUUUUUCAGACGCUACAAAAAUCUCCAUUCAUUAUAAUCCACAUUAUAAUUAAAAUGUCCUGUUGCUGUAUGAUUAUUUUCCUGCUGUAGGAGACUGGCUCAAAUUAAGAUCCUACAUCUGUAAAUACAAUACAGUGGGUGUUCCCUGACUUUAUACAGGCUUCUCUGCUUCCUCUCUGCUAAACACCUUCUUCUUCUUCCUUGGCUUUGAUAUUGGAGCAUUCAGGGUGUCUUUUAGUUCUAGCUACAGAGAUACAGAGUGGACUGGAAGCGUAACCUGUAGAGGAGCUGUUUUUCAAGUGGAAGGAAGCUCUACACUAGAGUUUAACUGUCCCCCUUUAUAUGACAUCACUUGUUGUUUUCACAUGACCCACAGGAAGUAAUUCAUUCUAAAUAGUCAAAGAUUGUUGACUGCCGAGCGAGGUUGACCUGUAAACGUGGCCCAAAUGGGUCAGAGUUUGUAUGUAAUGUCGCACGUUAUCACCUUUCAAACAGUGAACCAAGGACAUUUGUGGAAGAUGCAGCCUAGCUCUCAUUCGCCUGCCAUUUGGUGUCGUUGCUAUGGCAUUACCGCAGCGUUACUGUGGCAUUACCAUGACGACCAAAUAAGAGUCAUGUCAGGCGGACAAGCAACCCCUCACCACCAGCGUCUUGGCCCCCACUGGCACAUCAGCCUGCCCUCCC
rnacentral:lncRNA from 1 species